rnacentral:rRNA from 1 species
GCGGCGCGGGAAUUCGAUUCAACAGAGUUUGAUCCUCGCUCAGAACGAUCGCUGGCGGCAGGCUUAAUACAUGCAAGUCGAACGGCUGUAGCAAUACAGCAGUGGCAGACGGGUGAGUAACACGUGGGAACCUACCUAGGGGUACGGAAUAACUCGGGGAAACUUGUGCUAAUACCGUAUACGACCUCAGGGUGAAAGAUUUAUCGCCCCUAGAUGGGCCCGCGCUGGAUUAGCUAGUUGGUGAGGUAAAAGCUCACCAAGGCGACGAUCCAUAGCUGGUCUGAGAGGAUGAUCAGCCACACUGGGACUGAGACACGGCCCAGACUCCUACGGGAGGCAGCAGUAGGGAAUCUUGGACAAUGGGCGAAAGCCUGAUCCAGCCAUGCCGCGUGAGUGAUGAAGGCCUUAGGGUUGUAAAGCUCUUUCGCCAGGGAAGAUAAUGACGGUACCUGGAUAAGAAGCCCCGGCUAACUUCGUGCCAGCAGCCGCGGUAAUACGAAGGGGGCUAGCGUUGUUCGGAAUUACUGGGCGUAAAGCGCACGUAGGCGGCAUUCCAAGUUGGAGGUGAAAUCCCCGGGCUUAACCUGGGAACUGCCUCCAAAACUGGAAAGCUCGAGUCCGAGAGAGGUGAGUGGAAUCUCCAGUGUAGAGGUGAAAUUCGUAGAUAUUGGAAAGAACACCAGUGGCGAAGGCGGCUCACUGGCUCGGUACUGACGCUGAGGUGCGACAGCGUGGGG